GGGCCCGCACAAGCGGUGGAGCAUGUGGUUUAAUUCGAUGCAACGCGAAGAACCUUAUCCUGGGUUUGACAUGCAUGGAUUAGCUUCCUGAAAGGGAAGUGACGCGGCUUGCCGUGGAACAUGCACAGGUGCUGCAUGGCUGUCGUCAGCUCGUGCUGUGAAGUGUCGGGUUAAGUCCCUUAACGAGCGCAACCCCUAUCACUAGUUGCUAGCGAGUAAUGUCGAGGACUCUAGAGAAACUGCCUGGGAUGACCAGGAGGAAGGCGAGGAUGACGUCAAGUCCUCAUGGCCCUUAUGGGCUGGGCUACACACGUGCUACAAUGGCGGUUACAAUGGGUUAAUCCCCAAAAACUGUCUC
rnacentral:rRNA from 1 species